AGUUCGAGUUAGCGGGGAAUUCGAGUUAGCAGAGUAUGAAUCGAUGGGCUUUUACCCAUGAAUCUUCGGGGUCGUAUCCAGAAGUAGCAUAAAAACAAACAUGGCGGACGAUUCGUCGAGCGACGACGAACAAGACAUCGAGGAUGGCUACGAUGCGAUGCAAGAGAUUGAAGAAUACCACGGGGAGUCGAGCUCUGAAUACUCCGACUCUGGUUCCUCACCCAUUGAUAAUGGAGACGGUCCCAGACCACUAAGUAUCGCGUUUGACCCAUCAUUACCAACAAGACAUGAGUAUCUUGGUGAAGAGAUGGACGAGUUCAGUGGUCGAACUGUUCUGGAACCAAAUAAUGUAUUGCAACUCCCCCUUCUCACACUUCCUGGCCUAAUUCUGGUGCCAGGGCAAACUCUACCGCUUCACAUAUUCCAGCCACAGACUGUUGCAAUGAUGAAGAAUGUUAUUGACAAAGACAGAACAUUUGGUCAAGUUAACUCAAGAUAUGGUUCUAACAGGAACCAGCUGUUAUCCUCAAUUGGGACUACUGUGGAAAUAUUCUCAAUGAAGGAAGAAGUAGAGGCAGGAAUAACAACAAUCAGGAUCAAGGCUACAGGAAGACAGCGAUUCAGGAUUAUUGACAUCCGGACACAAGUUGAUGGAAUUCCUCAAGCUACUGUCCAGAUUCUACCAGAAAUCACCCUAUCCCCACACCCCGAGGGAGGUUUGCUUUCAUGCUAUUCCAAGUCUGGUUGCCAAGCAACUUGUGGAGGGUGCUUGCCAAAGUAUCACCCGCCAGGAGGGGGUGUUGGCAAGCCACGUCUUGGUGUCAGCCGCUUCAGAAAAGUCAACACAAGUCUGAGUAGCUGGCCAGAAUGGGUCUAUAGACUUUAUAAUCCUUUUAGCUUGAUGGAUGAAAUCAAGAAACUUCUGCUGAGCUGGAAUGAGUCCAUGCGAGUGGACAAUCUUCCUAUCUGCCCAACAGAGUUCUCAUUUUGGAUAGCAGCAAACCUUCCGCUGGACGACAGAUUGAGGCUUCAAAUACUGACAAUAAACUGUCCUACCCAGCGACUGCGAAAGGAACUCAGCAUUAUGCAAAAGUGCAGCGUAUUGUGUUGUCGGGACUGCAACUCAACUAUUGCUUAUAAAAAUGAGCUUUUCAGUAUGUCGCUGGAUGGCCCUUUAGGGGCCUAUGUGAACCCUGGUGGGUUUGUGCACGAGACGCUCACAUUCUAUAAAGCGCUGGGCAUUCGCCUCCGGGGGCACCCCACUGCGGAAAACAGCUGGUUUCCAGGAUACGCCUGGACGAUUGCCGAGUGUCAACAGUGCUCCAAUCACCUCGGCUGGCGGUUUAGCGCCAUCAAGAAAGGCUUGAGUCCCGGCAAGUUCUGGGGAUUGACGCGGUCUUCGCUCAAACCUUCCAUGAAGGACGAAGGGAUAACGGAUGACAGUUAGUGAACGAAGGGAUAACGGAUGACAGUGUAACGGAGGGAUAACGGAUGACAGUGUAACGAAGGGAUAACGAAUGACAGUGUAACGAAGGGAUAACGGAUGACAGUUUAACGAAGGGAUAACGGAUGACAGUUGAACGAAGGGAUAACGGAUGACAGUGUAACGGAGGGAUAACGGAUGACAGUGUAACGGAGGGAUAACGGAUGACAGUGUAACGAAGGGAUAACGAAUGACAGUUUAACGAAGGGAUAACGGAUGACAGUUUAACGAAGGGAUAACGGAUGACAGUUUAACGAAGGGAUAACGAAUGACAGUGUAACGAAGGGAUAACGGAUGACAGUUUAACGAAGGGAUAACGGAUGACAGUGUAGUAGAGAGGUUCUUUAGUUCCACAGUAUGUUAUAUUUUCCUGGUUUUUACAUCGCGCAUAAUUUGGUUUCACUGCUCACAUGCCAGGCCCGUAUCCAGGAUUUUUCUGGGGGGGGGGGGGGGGGGUGCGAAAUCCGAUUAGUUUGGUGCCUGUUUUGUGUAACCCGCUUAUGCCUUAUGGUUUCGUCUACAAAUAGCACGUCUAUUCCGAACCUGAAGUGGGUUUUCUGCCGUUGUGUGUAUGUGUGUGGGGGUUGGGAAAUGCGGACGCACCCCCCCCCCCCCCCCCCCCCCGUGCCUGCAUGCAUAGGUAAAUUCUCGCUGAUGAAAUUCCCUCUCCAUUCCUCAAGGUAGUACUCUUUUUAGAAAAAGAAUGAAAUAAAUAAAACUCUUUAAUAAUACCAGUAAUGAUGUUUUAAAUUCGGGUUCAAAUGUAUAUGUUUAUCGCGCGAAGAAUUAAGAAUGGGGGGAUGUUAAAAUAACCCCUUUUGGCAAAAUUCCUGGGAUCAGGAAUUUCCAGGGCCCUUCAAUGAACAGCUAGUAUUCAAGAAAGCAUCAGUUGUAAAAUUAAGGUACACGAAUAUUUGGAAUAAAAGGAGCAUAAUUUA